rnacentral:rRNA from 1 species
GAUGAACGCUGGCGGCGUGCCUAACACAUGCAAGUCGAACGAAGCACCUUUUAAGAUUCUUCGGAUGAUUGAUCGGUGACUGAGUGGCGGACGGGUGAGUAACGCGUGGGUAACCUGCCCUGUACAGGGGGAUAACAGUUGGAAACGGCUGCUAAUACCGCAUAAGCGCACGAGAGGACAUCCUCUUGUGUGAAAAACUCCGGUGGUACAGGAUGGGCCCGCGUCUGAUUAGCUGGUUGGUAGGGUAACGGCCUACCAAGGCGACGAUCAGUAGCCGGUCUGAGAGGAUGAACGGCCACAUUGGAACUGAGACACGGUCCAAACUCCUACGGGAGGCAGCAGUGGGGAAUAUUGCACAAUGGAGGAAACCCUGAUGCAGCAACGCCGCGUGAGUGAAGAAGUAUUUCGGUAUGUAAAGCUCUAUCAGCAGGGAAGAUAAUGACGGUACCUGACUAAGAAGCUCCGGCUAAAUACGUGCCAGCCGCCGCGGUAA